AAGCCAUGCACCGAAGCUGAGGAUGUGACAGUUGUAGUGACUGUUGCGUGGUAGCGGAGCGUUCCGUAAGUCUGUGAAGGCGGACCCGUGAGGGCUGCUGGAGAUAUCGGAAGUGCGAAUGUUGACAUGAGUAACGAUAAAGGGAGUGAGAGACUCCCUCGCCGAAAGACCAAGGGUUCCUGCUUAAAGUUAAUCUGAGCAGGGUUAGCCGGCCCCUAAGACGAGGCGGACACGCGUAGUCGAUGGGAACCACGUUAAUAUUCGUGGGCCUGGUGGUAGUGACGGAUCUCGUGUGUUGUACAUUCUUACUGGAUUGAAUGUGCGGCGAAGAGGUUCCAGGAAAUAGCUCCACCGUAUAGACCGUACCCGAAACCGACACAGGUGGUCAGGUAGAGUAUACCAAGGCGCUUGAGAGAACUAUGUUGAAGGAACUCGGCAAAUUGCACGCGUAACUUCGGAAGAAGCGUGACCCCAUUUUACGCAAGUAUGAUGGGGUGGCACAGACCAGGGGGUAGCGACUGUUUAUCAAAAACACAGGGCUCUGCGAAGUAGCAAUACGACGUAUAGGGUCUGACGCCUGCCCGGUGCUGGAAGGUUAAAGGGAGGGGUGCAAGCUCUGAACUGAAGCCCCAGUAAACGGCGGCCGUAACUAUAACGGUCCUAAGGUAGCGAAAUUCCUUGUCGGGUAAGUUCCGACCUGCACGAAUGGCGUAACGACUUCCCCGCUGUCUCCAACAUAGACUCAGUGAAAUUGAAUUCCCCGUGAAGAUGCGGGGUUCCUGCGGUCAGACGGAAAGACCCCGUGCACCUUUACUAUAGCUUUACACUGGCAUUCGCCAAGGCAUGUGUAGGAUAGGUGGUAGGCUUUGAAGCAGGGACGCCAGUUCUUGUGGAGCCAUCCUUGAAAUACCACCCUUAUCUUCGUGGAUGUCUAACCGCGGUCCGUUAUCCGGAUCCGGGACAGUGUAUGGUGGGUAGUUUGACUGGGGCGGUCGCCUCCGAAAGAGUAACGGAGGCGCGCGAUGGUGGGCUCAGACCGGUCGGAAAUCGGUCGUCGAGUGCAAUGGCAUAAGCCCGCCUGACUGCGAGACUGACAAGUCGAGCAGAGACGAAAGUCGGUCAUAGUGAUCCGGUGGUCCCGUGUGGAAGGGCCAUCGCUCAACGGAUAAAAGGUACGCCGGGGAUAACAGGCUGAUGACCCCCAAGAGUCCAUAUCGACGGGGUUGUUUGGCACCUC
rnacentral:rRNA from 1 species